UGGCUUUUGAAUUAAAUAAUCUCUGCUUUUCAAAUAAAAAUAACCGUGAAGCUGUUCAAAAUAUCUGAAAACAGAGCUCAGUCUAGCUAGCAGUUCUAAAACAAACAUAAUAUUAUUUGUAAGAAACAAAAUCGGACAGUAAGACGACUUGCAGACACACACGCUUGCAGACACACAAUCGCGCCUCGUGCUCAAAGCAACAGUACUGUCCACUAAAAUGUGCCGGUCUUCAAGAAUGAUUUCGGUGAGGCUACAAUCAACAGUCUCCACCCACAGGCAUCCACCGCAACUAGUAUCAAUAGCCAGCCACCACAGCCAGCCUCGAUGGCGAACCACCACACUUUGUCACCGCAGCCUGCCAUCAAAAGUCUUCACCAAUUGCUAUGCGUAGAUCACCUAUCUGUCGCUGACUACUCUCCCUUAGCAAUGAUAACAUAAAUGAAUGAUCAUACAAUCCAAUCCUAUGUCCAAUUUAAUCCAACUCCAAGCAAAUCCAAUACACAGUUCCCUUGUAUUUUCCCCAGGACGUUCCUUUAAACUAUAUAUAAUCACAAUGAAGCGCUUCGAUUUUUUAGGAAAGUUUAAAAACAGGUUGAAGACCUAUCAAUUUUUCCAAUCACUUUAAACAGCAACAGAACAAUAAGAACUACACAGUCGCAGUCCACAAAACAACUAGAGAUGUCGAGAUUCAGAAUGCUGAACUGAACUGUCCAACAUACAAUGCAAUAAAACACAAAUAAACUAAACACAGCUACACGAAAUACACUAAACAUAAGUACACUGAAAAUA